rnacentral:rRNA from 1 species
GGACUACCGGGGUAUCUAAUCCCGUUUGCUCCCCUGGCUUUCGCGCCUCAGCGUCAGAAGAGAUCCAGCACGUCGCUUUCGCCACCGGCGUUCCUUCUGAUAUCAACGCAUUUCACCGCUCCACCAGAAGUUCCACAUGCCCCUACCUCCCUCUAGACCAGCAGUAUCCAAGGCACUUUUCCGGUUGAGCCGAAAGAUUUCACCCCGGACUUGCUGACCCGCCUACGCGCCCUUUAAGCCCAGUGAUUCCGAACAACGUUAGGACGGUUCGUCUUACCGCGGCUGCUGGCAC